UAAACAAGGCCAUUAUUGUCCAAAUGUUUAUUCUGUUUCUCUUGAACGUCAAGUAAACGUCACUUGGUGCGUGCCGCGCGCGGACCGGCCCAGCUCGGUGCCGGGCCCGUGCGUGGCUACUCUUACAACUAACAAUUUAGUGGCACUCAUCUAUACAAGUCAUAAAUAUAACAAAAUACGAACAAAGCAAUCAAUGUACACAAACGAUAAUAAAAUCUUCCUCCCGAUGAGCUGCGCUUCCCUCCCCGCUCCCCCCGCACACACCGCGCGCCGCCAUUUGAUAAUUGACAUUGCUCAAAAGGAGAUCCAGUUACAAAUUACAAUAUUAAUAUUUUUUCACAAAGCAUUUGAUAAGGGUUAAUAUAAAAGAUUUUUACGGUAUCAUUAUAGCGUAAAAAUAGGUAGGCCACUCAGAGUCAAUGCCGCUUCGUAGGUGGAGCAUUGACUCGAAUUUUGCACGCUAUACAUUGUGGGUUUGAAAAAUAUUAAAUCACUAAAACUACAAAAUAAGGCAAUUUAUUGAUUAAGAUUAUUGGUAUUGGAUUGUGUUUAGGUAGUAUAAUAACAAUUUUUUGCUAGCGUUCUGGUUACACCCUGGGACACCAUAGGACAGUAUAUUCUAGCGUUGCGCGGUGUAUGUCACAAUCUUCCCCUUAGCACCGCCGACCAGUUUUGCAUCCGCCGGAUGAUGUUUCAUAAUUAUUAUUAUUAAUAAUAGGUAAUAUCUAAAGCUAUUAUAAUUAUAUCGUACACACGCUCUAACAAAUUUACAUUAUAUUUCAUAGUAAUAAUAAUACAAUACAACAAUUCUCACUCCAUCUCUUUCAAACACAUACAACUACACUCUCUCUUUCUCUCACACACAUGCAUACAUAUACACAUGUACAAACAUAAUAUUGUAAUACAGUGAGUUAUACUCAAUGCCAUAAAAUAAUCCCAUAAUAUCAAUCAAUACAUAUUAUUUAAGAAGUACAAGAUUUUUAGGGUAGGAACACACGGGUGGUUCCACCCUAAUCAUAAUAGUUGUGCUAAAAAUUAAACUAUUUAAAAAAUUCAGUUUGUUUCUUUUAUAGGCAGUGCGUAAAUAGUGGAUUCAACGUAGUUGUAAACUGUUUUUAAUUACACGUGUUAUAGGCAACGCGAAAUUUCUGAUUCGCUCUGCUGGUCGAUUGCGGAAAAAUUCGCAAUCAUUAUUACAAUCGCAAUUGUUUUUGCAACAAUGCAUUGUAGCCAACAGCACCAACCAAUCAGAGCUGAUUCCGAUCGUGACAUUGUAGCAGUCAUUCUGCCGCAAUCGAGCCGCUGAAGUAGCAAACGUCGCAAUCGGCGUGUUUGCACCGGUAUAGAUAAUCACAAAAGCUACUACAUAUUUACAUUUUUUAAAUUUUUUAUGAAAAAAUCCUUAAGUGUGUAUAGUACGCGACAGGUUGAGAUGGCAACCGGGGUGGGGACGCCCCGCACAGCCCCCGCACUACCUCGCUGCGGGUGACGUGCGGGUGUGCGAGGCGUCCCCACCCAAGUCACCCACUACAUUAUGUGCCUAUUUGUACCGGCGUAAACACGAAGCCGUCACAACUUCGGCGAUUUUUGCGUCACCUAUAUACAUAAAUUUCACUAAUAGCUAGGCUAUUACAAAAAGAAAAUGAUAUCAAUUUUGUCCAUAAUUUUGCCUUAUUUUUCUGUAGAAAAUACAGGUAAAAGGAGUUCUUGACUACAAUACAAUGAGGGGGAUGUAUUUGCGCAUGGGUACUGUACUUUCCUACAGCCUGUGAAGCGAGGCUUGAUUGGAGAAUCAAUAGCGAAGCCAUACAGAUACCCUCGCUGGCGUUCCGUACCAUCAAAUAAAUCGAUAAAUCACCCACCGCGCAAGUACAGGGUCAGAGUUCCUUUUACUCAACUGUAUGUAUAAUAUGCUUUUCAUAAAUAAUAAGUUUUAUUUAGAUGAGAGACCAAAUGUUGAAAAAGUUUGAGUUCCACAGGAAGGGAACAAUUUCAAAUCACAGCCCUCUUUAGUGCCCGAGUAAGAGUUGAAACGCUAACAGUUAACAGGUAAAUGUUGUUAGUUAAUAGAUAACAGCUAAUAGUUAACCUCCUAACUAACAGCAGCUAUAUCUAUUAAAAGAUAACAGCUAACCUCCUAACUAACAACAGUUAUCUGUUAACAGGUAACAGUUGAUUGUUAGCAAUCAACGCUUAACUGCUAACCGGUAACGACUAACAGGUAACUGUUACCAAAAAACGAUGAAUUAUUAUUAAAUUAUUAUAUUAUUAAGUAAAAAAUGUUGUAUGGCCAUCCAAUUCCUCGCAACAACCUAACUACGCAGUUGCCACGCAUUUUCUCGCGGCCAUUGAGUCUAAAACGUUAUGUCUAAAUCUUGUUUAUUUUGCGUCGCUACUUGACGAGCUAGUUUUGUAGGCGACGAAAGUGUUAAAUAAAAGCGCCCACAGCUAAUCGUAGAUAGGUAACAGCUAUCUGUUGACAGGUAUUCGUCAUCGAUAACAGCUAGCAGUUAAUUGUUAACAGGUAACAGUUAAACGCUGAAAGCUAAAACACUCGCACAGUACUGAGUCACACUCGCGCGAUAGGAAGCUAUCCCUUUUAUAGACUCUGUUUUUAUAGAAAUUUCGUAUUUAUGUACAUGAUAGUCAUCCUUACAUACAUGUAAUGGCAAAUUUUUUCAAUUGUUUUGAUUGAUUGAACUUUAGUUUUUAAUUUUGAUGCUAGUGCUAUAGAGCAUAAAACGAUCGUUCUAUGUUUAGAAUUUUAGAUGAUUGAGAAUAUGGAAGUAUUGGAAAUUUCUAUUUGACUUGAAUAUACAUUUUGUACAAUCAUUAAACCUUUAAUUGUAUACGUAUUUAUUAAGACUGGUAUUAUACAUAAUUGAUACAGUGUGGGUAACUUAUUACGUGUCCUAUCGCUUAGCGUGCAAUGUACAAGAUGCUAAAUCCUAUGCCACAUCACAUAAUCAUUUGAAUUUUUCUACUUCAUAAUUUGCAAUAUUUUCAAUAACUUUUUUAACUCUUAAAGUGGUGCUAUAUAAAACGUGGAAUUUCGAUUAAAAUCACUAUUUUUUUACAAUCUAUACAAUCAAUGGGCAGAAGAAAACCCAGUUGAUAAAUUUAAUAAGCAACAGGUGCUGGUGCCUAUUUUCAUUCAUUCAUUACAAAUUAGAUUUUAAAACACAGCAAAAUAAAACGUAAGAAUGCGUAAUGAAUGAUCACUUUGAAAAAAGAUACAUAACUCAUAUCAUAAGUCUUUGUUGCUUGAAAUAAACUUCUAUUUUAAUUUAUUAUUAGUAGAAAUCAUUCCAUAACAAAAGGAAACAGCUUAACAUAAUUACACGGGCGUAACGUAAUUACCCGUUU